GCAUUGCUGGUGUAGUGGUAACACACAGGUUUUAUACUCCUGUGACCCUGGUUCGAAUCCAGGGCAGUGCA
rfam:Strongylocentrotus purpuratus Contig91979_fixed, whole genome shotgun sequence.